GCUGUGGUUUAGUGAUAAAGCAUCUGUUUUGCAUGCAGAAGGUCCCAGGUUCAAUUUCGGGCAUCUCCA